GGCGGGGUAGCUCAGUCUGGCAGAGCAAACGGCUCAUAAUCGUUGUGUCGCCGGUUCAAGUCCGGCCCCCGCUACCA
rnacentral:tRNA from 1 species